GGGGAUUUAGCUCAGCGGUAGAGCGCUUGCCUAGCGAGCACAAGGCCCUGGGUUCGGUACCCAGCUCCG
rnacentral:tRNA from 1 species